rnacentral:rRNA from 1 species
AUACGUAGGGUCCGAGCGUUGUCCGGAAUCAUUGGGCGUAAAGCGCAUGUAGGCGGCCAUGUUAGUCGGAUGUGAAAUCCCAGGGCUCAACCCUGGAACUGCAUCCGAUACUGCAUGGCUUGAGGAAGGUAGAGGAGAGUGGAAUUCCCGGUGUAGCGGUGGAAUGCGCAGAUAUCGGGAGGAACACCAGCGGCGAAGGCGGCUCUCUGGGCCUCUCCUGACGCUGAGAUGCGAAAGCGUGGGUAGCGAACAGGAUUAGAUACCCUGGUAGUCCACGCCGUAAACGAUGGGUGCUAGGUGUGGGGAUCAGUUCACGAUCUCCGUGUCGAAGCUAACGCGUUAAGCACCCCGCCUGGGGACUACGGCCGCAAGGCUAAA